rnacentral:tRNA from 1 species
GGGCUCGUAGGGUAGCCAGGAUAUCCUAAUGGGCUUCGAACACCCAUUGACUCGCGUUCGAAUCGCGGCGGGCCCG